CAGACUGACCUCCGCUUCCAGAACCAUGUGGUGUUGGCCCUUCAGGAGGCUGCAGAGGCCUACCUGGUGGGUCUCUUCGAGGACACCAAACUGUGCGCCAUCCAUGCUAAGCGCGUGACCAUCAUGCCCAAGGACAUUCAGCUGGCUAGGAGGAUCUGUGGCGAGAGAGCUUAA
rnacentral:rRNA from 1 species